GUUUGAANCNUGGCUCAGGACGAACGCUGGCGGCGUGCUUAACACAUGCAAGUCGAACGAUGAACCACUUCGGUGGGGAUUAGUGGCGAACGGGUGAGUAACACGUGGGCAAUCUGCCCUUCACUCUGGGACAAGCCCUGGAAACGGGGUCUAAUACCGGAUAACACUGCGGAUCGCAUGGUCUGCGGUUAAAAGCUCCGGCGGUGAAGGAUGAGCCCGCGGCCUAUCAGCUUGUUGGUGAGGUAAUGGCUCACCAAGGCGACGACGGGUAGCCGGCCUGAGAGGGCGACCGGCCACACUGGGACUGAGACACGGCCCAGACUCCUACGGGAGGCAGCAGUGGGGAAUAUUGCACAAUGGGCGAAAGCCUGAUGCAGCGACGCCGCGUGAGGGAUGACGGCCUUCGGGUUGUAAACCUCUUUCAGCAG
rnacentral:rRNA from 1 species